ensembl:lncRNA
CGCCCCACCCCGCCUCGGUGGCCGGGAUGAGAGAGGCGGGAGGGGGUGCGGUGCCCGCUGCCCGUCCUGGGGCAGGGGCCGGGGCCGGGGCCGGGGCCGGGGCCGGAGCCGGGACCGGGGCGGGCGGCGGGGGGCCGGGCAGCCUCCCGGGACGCCUCUCGGUUUCGUUUCGCCGCCGCGGUUGGGAAGUUUGAAGAGCGGCAGUGACACAGUGACACCUCACACACAACACACCCCCCGGGCUUCACCGGGAGUUUCCCGGGACAGGACGCGCCAGGGCGGGCGGGCGCGGCGCUGACCGCGCUGUGCGGUGCGGUGCGGAUCGGAGCGGAGCGGUGCGGUGGGGUGCGGAGCAGUCCCCCCCCGGCCCGGUCAGGCGGGGCGGAGCGGAGCGGCGGGGGAGCGCACGGAAGACGCCGUGCCCCGCCGUGCCCCGCGGCAGCGCUGCCUCGGCCGGCGGGCGGUGGGAGCCCCGGCGGGGCGCUGGCGGGUGGCGCGCAGGCAGGUUAGUGACCCCCGCCCCUCCCCCGCCCCGGCGGGGGGGUUUCCUAUUUUUUUUUUCCUCCUCUUUUUUUUUUUUUUUUUCUUUUUCCCCCCUUCUCUCCUCGUUGCAUAAAUUAUGCCGGGAGGGGCAGUGACGUCGCGGGGGCGGGGCGCGCGGCGGCGCUCGCCCCCGGGGAGGGGGCGGUGUCGGGGGCGCGCCUUGUGGCGGCGGAGGGAGGGAGGAGGGAGGGAGGAAGGAGGGAGGUAGGCGGCGGGGGCGGGCGGGCGCAGGGGGCGGCAGCCGCCUGGCUGGCUGGUGUCGCGCUCGGCUCGGCUCCGGCGGGCGCGCUCGCUCGCUCGGGAACUAUCGGAUUAAACUUGAAUCGAGUGAAAUUACACAAAGGAGCGAAGCGGAGCCGGCGGAGACCCCGAAACUACCCGAGACCCGCGCUGACCCUUCCUCUCCCUCCCCUCCCUUCCACCCCUCCUUCGCCUGCCCGCCCCGGUCAGGGAUCCCCCUCCUCCCCUCUUAGCCCAGCCCCGGUGCGAGCGAGCAACUCCGUGCGUGUGUGUUGUGUGCGUGUGUGUUGUGUGCGAGACCCGCACCCCGCCUCGCCCCCCCCGGCCGGCGGCACCAACUCCGGAGCGUGUCCCCUCCUCCUCCCCGGCCCCUCGGCGGAGGGCAGCGAGGGAGCGAGCGGGGCACACCGGUCCCCGACGGCCACGCACCGGCCCGAUCAUCCAUUCUAACGACGGCAAAAAAAAUCUUAAUGACUAUGACCUUAGCAGCAUGGGUAGCUGAUUUAUCCCAAUUAUAAAUCCCGUUAGUUUGCGGUAAUGUGUGAGUAUCAAUAUAUAAUUCAUAUUAAAAAGCAUGAUCCGUAAUUAUUAUUCUUUUUUUUUUUUGUAAAAGUUGAAAUCCAUAAUUUUCCAAUGAGAGUGCUGCAUCUGUCGCUUGGAGUGUUUUUGUCUCGCUGUUGCACAACAGAGGCUCUCCAGUCUUUAACCUAAAAUGGCAGCUUUAAUUUGACUGGGGCCCAUUCAUUGACAAUGAUAAUAAAAAGGCUGAAAGCUAAAUGUAGCUGGAUGCUUGGGGCACGUAUGCAGAACACUUUCCUCCCAUUGCUGGGCACUGCUGAGAGAGGAACUUCCAAGCUCUCUAGUUUCCACUGUGAAAGUUUCCAACACUUUUUUCCCUCAUUAAAAAAAUUAAAAAAAAAAAAAUCACAUUGCUCAGCACAGACCACAUUUUAGAUGUCUGGGUUGCUUACAAACUUAACGGUGAGGUGAUAGUUAGAGAGCUCCUUUCAAGGGGUCUGCAUUUACAACAGCAGGAGAAAAAUUCUAGUAAUCCCUUUCAAAAUAAGAUGCAGUCUGGGGGAAAAUUAACCAUUUCUUUCUGAGGUUUGUAACAGAUGAUCAGAACAAUUACAUUCUGUAUGUUUUCCUAUCUCCAGCUACUACAAGUGGGGAGUGUUGCUUGUUUCUUCUUGUUUGGUAUUGUAAAUGUGCUCAGGGUUUUGCAGAGAUCCUCUUGAUAGUGUACUAUUUUCCUCUAGUUGUUAAAACCACAGCUGCUUGGAAAAAGCAAUUCUUUUUGGUCUUAUACAUAACUUGAAGUUUGAAACAGUUUUACAAAACGAAAUUUCCACUACUAAAGUAUUAGUGAAUGCCACAAAUUCACACAUCUCCUUGUCCUGUCUUUCUGUUAACCUGAACUGCUUAUUUUCAGUCUCUUAUGAGCUGUUUUUUUAGUAGGAAAUUUAUAAAGAUCAUUAUUAAAGCUGUUGCACAGGCUCUUAAAAGAGUAUUAAAUGCUUGUCAUUGCAAGUUUAACUGAAUUACUGAUUCACUGAUACUAAUUGGAUAAUCAUAUUUGACCAAAUAUCUUACUAAAUAUUUAACAGUGUGAUGACAUUUCUGUUAUUGCUUGUAAAUCCUGGUUAGGUUAUUUAAACAGUGGGAAAAAGCCUCUUAUUUGUAACCCAAAAUUAUUUUAUUGCCCCUCCAGUAAUGAAGGAAAGUUUCAAUCAUAGGCAAGGAUCACACAGUCCUUUUAGGAAAAUAACAAUUUCUGGGAAUGUAGCAUUGUAACAAUACCAAUAAAAAAGAGGUAUAGUGGAAUACUCACUAUCGCAAUCAAAACCGUGUACAGUGAUGGGAGAUUUCAGUUGCGACCAAUUCCUUUUGGAUUUGGUUAAUGCAGAAACCUGAAGAGUUGUGUCAAAGGAGCACUGUAAAGGUUUCCCUGUCCGUGUAGAGGGGUCAGGUAACCUGACUGUAGUUUUUUUUCCACGUGAGUUAUUUGCUGUUUUGAACUGAAAAGCUUUUGAUGAACAUUCGCAGUAUUUCCCGGUAACACUCAAAUAAUGUUAGGACUUUUAUAAGACGUAAAACGCGUUGUUUGCAAGUCAAGGUGGAACAGGCCGAUGGCGAAGCUGCAGGCACUGUACUGAAGAAGGGGAUGUGCUGCCCAGCCUGGGCUUGGCUUGGCGUGGGUGGGUGUCGUGGUCGGCGGGCCUGUCCUGCCCUGGCAUACAGGGAGGCUCCGUGCCAGGUCUGUGCCCCACGGACGGCAGCUCUGCGGGCAGUGGAACCUGCAGCAUGAGGAUACAACAAAACCUAAACAAAGACAACCCAGGCGUGAUUUUCUGUAAAGCUGGAAGGCCUGAGUAAUAGGGACUUCUCAGGUUUUCCCAGAGCUGCUGAAGUGUGGCAGUGAGGCUGUGUUUUGCCAUGUCCAAGGCAUCCUAUAGCAGCUCUCUAUCCGGGGUUUGGUUUUGUUUGUGGCGUAUGGUGUGAUACAUAGAGGUUGCUAAGGUGGGAGGAGGUGGAAAAAAGUAACCAGAAAGAAAGAGGGUGGAAAUAAAUGCAGGUGUCUCCUUGAAUCCCACGCCUUACCUCUAUCCCUUAUUUCCCACUCAUUUUUACAUUAAUUUUCAGAUGGAAAGCCUUUAGAAUGUGCUGGUCAGUAUUUGCUCUUGUGAAUCUGGUGUUAUUCAAAGAAAUUUGUGUGGCUAGCAAGGGUACAGGCAACUUUGUGACAAGUGGUGUGUGGGUCCGAAGGUCUUCCUUCCCCUAGUUCCCUUAAGUCCUCACUUCCAAACCCUUAUAUAUUUCUCUGCUGUGAACAAAUCACUAACUGGUCAGAUUUAUGAGCUGGUUAACUGAUGCCCAUAAGUAACACAGGUGAUACUUUUAUGUUACUUUAAUGUUCCCUGUAUACAUGGGAAAACUGCAAAUUUUAGUAAAUAAUUAAACUGUCUUUCUGACAAAUGAGUCUUUUGUGUGUAGGUGAGGCUUUAGACUUCACUUUUCCAACAGAAAGUUAUUGUAUUAAUUUAGUUUCUUUCAUCAUUUAGCUAUCAAUUUAGCUUCAUCAUUAAGACAGACAUUACCUCCAUCAUUUCUCAUCAUUUAUAUUUCUGUGAAUAGCUUGUUUGCACAAAUACAAACUACUGGAUUUUAAUGGAAAAAAGCGUCAAAUACUGUCUAUGACGUAGCAAUGAUAAAAAGGCAAAGGGAAACUCCAACUAUAAUUUAUUUUUAAAAAUCCUUUCAGAGGAAGGAGUGAGGUACAAUAUGCAGAAACAUCUCAUGUUUUUAUUAGGUUUCUGACAAGAUAGUGAAACCUGAUGGAAGUUUUCCUCCUGAUUUCUUUCCGUCUGCACAAUCUGAAUAACUUUCAGUGAUUUGUAUCUUACCCGAGAUCAGCGGUCAUGGAAAUACCACGUUGUAGUUGUGCACUAAAAAUCUUUCUUGGAAAACGAGGUUGGAAGGCAUGAUGCAAAAAAUAAAAAGGAGGUUAUGACCUAAAGGACACAUUCCAAGAGCCCGAAUAUGACAACAAAGCUCUUAAGGGUAUUCUUAAGUAUAUAAAAGCUGAUUAGCUCUCAGCUUCCAACACUGGGACUUUUCAAGGAUGUAAACAUGCACCUAGAAGAAGCCAAGCCAGAACCAAGGAUCUUUGUGCUGCCACUUGGGUUCUUCUCUGAGAGCUGCUCAGUAGUGGUUUCUAAACAUCCUGGUUGUUUGGCUGCCCUUACGCUAAAUGCAUUCUCCUUAGAAAAAGAAAGAAAAAAAAGCAACGACUUAAUUUAAACAUUUUCUUUUAAAAGUUGGAAUUCAAUAAGAGUGCUAAUUAUCAAAUCGGCUACUGUUCUACUAAAACAUUGUAACACAUGACUUUGAAAGCUUAUUGGCAUAUGGGAACUAACCAGAAGCCCUUGCUGGCAUGAUGUAGGGCUCCCUUUGCUCUGUAGUGACCUAUAUAGCUAUUUUGGGUGUGGUUUUGCUUGGCUUUCAUGGGAGCUGAGUCCAACCUUCCUCUGACAUAGACAAUUGCUGUGAUGAGAGGGCCUUGAGGGGAAUGGUGGGGAAUAAAUAACUUUGAGAAUCAAUUGUCUGGAAAAAGUCAUUGCAGCCAAAAUGUCUGCCCUCUUCCUAAUGGUUCUGAGGGGAAAAUAAAAUUUCAUAUAUACGGUCCUGAUCCUAGAGGUUGUCUUGUUCAGGUUUUAUUUAAAUAUGAGCUUGUGGCUGGGGAGAGCAAUGCAGCAACUUACCUGCCUGGG